rnacentral:lncRNA from 1 species
GAUGUACUCUGCAUGUAAGUUAAAUAAUCAGGGUGCCUAUAUACAGCCUUGACAUAUUCCUUUUCCUGUUUGGAACCAGUCUGUUGUUCCAUUCCAGCUCUAACUGUUGCUUCUUGACCUGCAUACAGAUUUCUCAAGAGGCAGGUCAGGUGAUCUGGUAUUCCCAUCUCUUUCAGAAUUUUCCACAGCAUAGUCAAUAAAGCAGAAAUAGAUGUUUUUCUGGAACUCUCUUGCUUUUUCGAUGAUCCAGUGGAUGUUGGCAAUUUGAUCUCUGGUUUCUCUGCCUUUUCUAAAACCAGCUUGAACAUCUGGAAGUUCACAGUUCACGUAUUGCUGAAGCCUGGCUUGGAGAAUUUUGAGCAUUACUUUACUAGUGUGUGAGAUGAGUGCAAUUGUGCGAUAGUUUGAGCAUUCUUUGGCCUUGCCUUUCUUUGGGAUUGGAAUGUAAACUGACGUCUUCCAGUCCUGUGGCCACUGCUGA